GACGAACGCUGGCGGCGUGCCUAAUACAUGCAAGUUGAGCGCUGAAGGGGGGUACGUGUACCGACUGGAUGAGCAGCGAACGGGUGAGUAACGCGUGGGGAAUCUGCCGUGGAGCGGGGGACAAGAUUUGGAAACGAAUGCUAAUACCGCAUAAAAACUUUAAACACAAGUUUUAAGUUUGAAAGAUGCAAUUGCAUCACUCAAAUAGGAUCCCGCGUUGUAUUAGCUAGUUGGUGAGGUAAAGGCUCACCAAGGCGAUGAUACAUAGCCGACCUGAGAGGGUGAUCGGCCAACAUGGGACUGAGAAACCGCCCCAACCCCUAAGGGAGGCAGCCGUAGGGAAUCUUCGGACAAGGACGAAAGUCUGAACGAGCCCAGCCGGGUGAGGGAAGAAGGUUCUCGGAUCGUAAAACUCUGUUAGUAGAGAAGAAAGUUGGUGAGAGUGGAAAGCUCAUCAAGUGACGAUAACUACACAGAAAGGGACGGCUAACUACGUG
rnacentral:rRNA from 1 species